rnacentral:tRNA from 2 species
GCCCAUAUAGCUCAGUCGGUAGAGCACUUCCUUGGUAAGGAAGAGGUCACCGGUUCAAAUCCGGUUGUGGGCUCCA